GAACGCUGGCGGCGUGCUUAACACAUGCCUUUCGGACGAGACGAUUGAAAGCUUGCUUUUGAGAGUCGAGUGGCAAACGGGUGAGUAACGCGUAGACAACCUGCCGUAAAGAUGGGGACAACAGUUCGAAAGGACUGCUAAUACCGAAUGUUGUAGAGUUUCCGCAUGGGAAUCCUACUAAAGAUGGCCUCUACUUGUAAGCUAUCGCUUUACGAUGGGUCUGCGUCUGAUUAGCUAGUUGGUGGGGUAACGGCUUACCAAGGCGACGAUCAGUAGCCGGUCUGAGAGGAUGAACGGCCACAUUGGAACUGAGACACGGUCCAGACUCCUACGGGAGGCAGCAGUGGGGAAUCUUCCGCAAUGGGCGCAAGCCUGACGGAGCAACGCCGCGUGAGUGAAGAAGGGUUUCGACUCGUAAAGCUCUGUUGUCGGGGACCAAUGUGGAGAUGGUGAAUAACCAUUUUCAAUGACGGUACCUGACGAGGAAGCCACGGCUAACUACGUGCCAGCAGCCCGCGGAAAUACUUAGGUGGCGAAGCGUUAUCCCGGAAUCAUUGGGCGUAACGGGUGCGUAGGCGGCUGAAUAAAUUCGGGGUUAAAGCGUGGGGCUCAACCCCCUUAAAGCCACGGAUACUGGUCAGCUAGAGUACUGAGGAGGGCAGUGGAAUUCCAUGUGUAGCGGUAAAAUGCGUAGAUAUAUGGAGGAACACCGGUGGCGAAGGCGGCUGCCUGGACAGAGACUGACGCUGAGGCACGAAAGCGUGGGGAGCAAAUAGGAUUAGAUACCCUAGUAGUCCACGCUGUAAACGAUGAAUGCUUGGUAUCGGGGCAACCCGGUGCCGAAACUAACGCGCUAAGCAUUCCGCCUGUGGAGUAUGCACGCAAGUGUGAAACAUAAAGGAAUUGACGGGGGCCCGCACAAGCGGUGGAGUAUGUGGUUUAAUUCGACGCAACGCGAAGAACCUUACCAGGCCUUGACAUCCCUUGCAAAGCUGUAGAGAUACAGUAGAGGUUAUCAAGGUGACAGGUGGUGCAUGGUUGUCGUCAGCUCGUGUCGUGAGAUGUUGGGUUAAGUCCCGCAACGAGCGCAACCCUUGUCUUCAGUUACCAAUAUCAAGUUAGGGACUCUGGAGAGACUGCCGGUGAUAAACCGGAGGAAGGUGGGGAUGACGUCAAAUCAUCAUGCCCCUUAUGACCUGGGCCACACACGUGCUACAAUGGACGGAGCAGAGGGAAGCGAGACCGCGAGGUUGAGCAGAGCCCAGAAACCCGUUCUCAGUUCGGACUGCAGUCUGCAACUCGACUGCACGAAGCUGGAAUAGCUAGUAAUCGCGGAUCAGCAUGCCGCGGUGAAUACG
rnacentral:rRNA from 1 species